rnacentral:rRNA from 1 species
AACGAACGCUGGCGGCAUGCCUAACACAUGCAAGUCGAACGAGACCUUCGGGUCUAGUGGCGCACGGGUGCGUAACGCGUGGGAAUCUGCCCUUGGGUUCGGAAUAACAGUUAGAAAUGACUGCUAAUACCGGAUGAUGUCUUCGGACCAAAGAUUUAUCGCCCAAGGAUGAGCCCGCGUAGGAUUAGGUAGUUGGUGGGGUAAUGGCCCACCAAGCCGACGAUCCUUAGCUGGUCUGAGAGGAUGAUCAGCCACACUGGGACUGAGACACGGCCCAGACUCCUACGGGAGGCAGCAGUGGGGAAUAUUGGACAAUGGGCGAAAGCCUGAUCCAGCAAUGCCGCGUGAGUGAUGAAGGCCUUCGGGUUGUAAAGCUCUUUUACCAGGGAUGAUAAUGACAGUACCUGGAGAAUAAGCUCCGGCUAACUCCGUGCCAGCAGCCGCCGUAAGAC